CCCUCCCUCAGCGCGGAGGACGUGGUUCAGUCCCCCUUUCCACCCCCCGUCAGGGCGCAGUGGAAAAGUCCUCCCGCACUAGCCCCUCACUGCAGGGCCGCCUUCGUCACGUGGCCACAACAGGAGCAUUGCUGAUGGAAGGUCCUCCUGGGCAAGGAAUUUCUUUUGUGUUGAGGAUGGAACAGAGCUCUUGGCCCUGGAAGAAGGGCUCUGUCUCCUCAAAAACUUUUCUGUCUUCAGAAACCCAAGCCGAAGUGAAGAUGCUGUGGAAGCGGAACUGGGAGGGACUUGUGCUCUGUAGAGACACUUAAAAGAGCAUCCUUUCCAGAUAGGAUAGUGUAAAGCAGUGGUUCUCAAACUUUUCUGUACCAAGAGCCAUUUAUAAACAUUGAUGGCAAGCCUGUGCCCCUCACUCCCCAGGCCUCCCACUGUGUGUGUUAGGCCCCAGCUAGUCCUCGUCCUCACAGGGGAAAAAUCACUGGUCUUGGACUCGGGCCAGACAGAAUACUUACAGAAAUAAUCCCAGGCAGAUGUACUGACGGUAGGCCUUAUGCCCUUUCUACCCUCUCACCCAGGUGCCUGUUACUGAUACUUUUACCCUGUGGCGUUGCACCGUUAGGCUACUGCCGCCUCAGCGAUCCAGCUCCUCCUGAAGCAAAAGUCUCACCGGGAAAAGAAAUCCCAGGGCACGCCUGACAUUUGAUAAGGAAGAGCAAAUCAGCUAGUCCGGGCAAAGCUUAUCUACAGCAGUUCCAUCUGGGUUGCCAAAAACUGUUAGGCCCCAGCUCAAGUCUGGGUUCGUGCCUGGUAUGCAAAGGCCAAUAAAGUUACCAGGGGUGAAAGUAUAAAAAAGAUUUAUUGCUAGCAAUAAAAGGUGCAUUCGGAAUAAUUUCACAGAACAAGCACACCAGAUAUUCAAUACUAAGCCCCUUAUAUACAGGGGUUUGAACCUUCAUAAGCAUCCUUGUUUGCUAAUUGGCUAUAAAGGAGUGAUGCAAGGAGUUCUUUACUGAGCAUGUCUCUAUACCUGUGUUUUAGCUAUGUAUCUCAUUAACAUACAUGUAUGUUUCAUUAGCAUACUUUUUCCCCACCUAGGGGCGUGAUUUUUAGUAUUUUAAUGAGCUCUUUGACCCAGUACUCUGAUUCUGCUUUUGUUUUCAAGCCUCCUUUAUCUAAGACUGUCUCCUCCUUAUCAUUGCAGAUGGGCAUUCGUCACAUAACAUUCACUUUUGCUUAGGCUUUGCAUAGUAGUUUCUAGGUCAAAUCUCACAUGUGUGGGACCAGUUGACCGGGGGGUUGCAAGAAGCAAGGGAAAAGCUACAGUUUCUCACGCUUUUCUCCUUUAAAUGAGAAUCCAUUUUUAAAGUUUGUUCAUGACUUUUUCAUAUAUUUUUGUGACCCACUUUUGGGUCGUGACCCACAAGCGAGAGGCUGGUCUAAAAAAGGGUGAGAACCUCUCUCGGGGCUCCGAGCUUCUCGCUCAGCUCUGUCAAAAUUUCCCAGGACGAGGGGAUGAUUAGAAACCACCAGAAGGGGCCUCUGGAUUUUUCCUGAGCUCUGAUUCCCUGCCUUCAGAGGAUGAGUGACUUCCACUGAACUCUGUAGGAGUUGCUUGUGUCUUGUGGAUAAAGGAAAGUGAAUAAGGACCCCUCUGCCCACCGCCAGGGUCAAGCUCUGCCUCAAGAAGGCUGAGUGCAAAUACACCUUUCCUUGCUCAGGCUGGUGUGUCACAACUGGCUUGCUAAAUUAUCCCCUUUUCUCGGUGCUGUAUUUUUAGGAUGCCUGCAGUGGAAGGGAGACUGUUAAAUUGGCAGUGCUCCUAAACCUAAAUAGGGGGAGAUGAUGGAGCUGCUUAUUAAAAAUGAGAAUCCUUUUCAGAUGGGAUAAUUUGAAAAUGUAGAUCCCCACAUUCAGGAAUCUGAACACUUUAAAUAGUGAGGUGUGACAUGAAGUCAUCAAUUAAUAAUGGCAGGUAGAAGAAUUGCAGGACAUUUACACCUGAACCUCUUGAAGAGAGGCAUCUGUUGUUAAAAUACUUUGAGAGAGUGGUGAUGGAUGGGUCGGUAUCGACCUGGAAGGACGUGGGCAGUGGGGUCCCACAGGGCUCGGACCUUGGAUCCAUACUCUUCAAUGUCUUCAUCAGUGACUUGGAUGAGGGAGUGAAGUGUACUCUGUCCAAGUUUGCGGAUGAUACAAAACUGUGGGGAGAAGUGGACACACCUGAGGGCAGGGAACAACUACAGGCAGACCUGGACAGGUUGGAUAAAUGGGCAGAAAACAAUAGAAUGCAAUUUAACAAGGAGAAAUGCAAAGUGCUGCACCUAGGGAAGAAAACUGUCCAGCAUACCUACUGCCUAGGAAAUGACCUGCUCGGUAGCAUGGAAGCGGAAAGGGAUCUUGGAGUCCUAGUGGACUCCAAGGUGAACAUGAGUCGUCAGUGUGACAAAGUCAUCAGGAAAGCUAACUGCACUUUAUCAUGCAUCAGCAGAUGCAUGACAAACAGAACGAAGGAGGUGAUACUUCCCCUCUAUUGGGCACCGGUCAGACCGCAGUUGGAAUACUGCGUGCGGUUUUGGGCGCCACACUUCAAGAGGGGUGUGGAUAACCUGCAGAGGGUCCAGAGAAGGGCCACUCGUAUGGUUAAGGGCUUGUAGACCAAGCCCUACGAGGAGAGACUAGGGCACCUGGACCUCUUCAGCCUCCGCAAGAGAAGGUUGAGAGGCGACCUUGUGGCUGCCUAUAAAUUCAUCAUGGGGGUGCAGAAGGGAGUUGGUGAGGCUCUACUCACCAAGGCGCCCCUGGGGCGGGUCACAAGAAAUAAUGGCCAUAAGCUAGCAGAGAGCAGAUUUAGACUGGACAUUAGGAAGAACUAAUGUGGGAGGUGGUGCUCUCCCCUAACCUGUGGGUCUUCAAGAGGUGGUUAGAUAGGCAGCUGGCUGGGGUCAUCUGAACCCAACUCUCUUUUCUGCCUAUGCAGGGGGUCGGACUCGAUGAUCUAUUGAGGUCCCUUCCAACCCUAACAUCCAUGAAUCUAUGAAUCUUUGAGAAGUGUGGUAAUGUGGGAGUGAAAAGAGGUAGAUUGUUUUAGAAGUUUUUGAAGCAGAUUGCAACACAAAUGCUCCAAAAAUCAAAUGUUAUUUGAAACCCAUUUAUCUUUAGAGAUAACACAGCAGGCAUAGGCGACUGGUACCUCCUGAGUCAGGAGGGGCACUUGCUCCUCCCCCCACCCCCCCCCAGCAGACAGUUAGCAACCGGGGGGGGGUCGCCCUGUGGCUGAUCCUGCCAACCGGGGGAAAGGGUCCCCUGCGGCUGAUCCUGCUGAUCCACAACUGGCAGCGGUGCACCGCUGGCACUUCCGGGUCAGCGGAAUCGGCCGCGGUGGGGGAUUGCUUCUCCUGGCACAUCUCCUGGCUGGCGCCCUUGGGGGCACCAGCACUCUUGCCUGCCCCGCUUCCUGGGAACACUGCUGUUGGGGUGCACCAGUGCUCUCAGGAAGUGCACAUGCAUCCCCGUGUACCCCCUAUGCAUCGCCACUGACAGCAGGGAUUUAUUUACACAGAAGUAAUCCAGUUCCAUCUAUAUACUGGCUGCAGUCCAGAUUUAAGGGCUUCAUUCAGCUCCAGUGAAUUCACUGGAGUUGGUUCCUUUGCAGAACCAGUGUUUUGUGGCAGAACCCUCCUUUCUGAAAGCAGUCACACCACACCAAAGUAAGGAUUCUGCUACCAUCUGGCAGCCAGCAGAAGACGUGUGGACACCUUCAUACGUUCUGCUGGUUGUCCUGAUUCCUUCUGCACCUGAUGCUUUUCCAGGAGGCCACUGGCGAAGCGUAGGGGGUGUAUGUGGGUCCAUGUGCACCUCCUGAGAUUGUUUGUGCACCCCUUGGAAGCACCAGCCGUGAAACCGAAAGUGCUGGCAGAAGUACACUUCUGGUUUCGCUGCUGGCUCCCCAGUCAGCCGCUGGGAACUGCCCCCCCCCCCCCCAUCAGCGGUCUGGUGCCCCCCCAGACUUGGGAGGCACCAGUCAGGGGGCCUUCAGUGCUCCUGUACUACAGCUGUUAUAGUGGAGCUUUGCAGAGGUGGUGAAACCCCAUGGACAUGUACUACUUUGGCAGCUUUUGCAAGAGUGGUUGCUGUCUGCUGCUAGAUCUUCUGCCAGCAGAAGGAAGUAAGUGUGCACCAGGUCUUACCUUCUACCAGGCUUUAGGUACUUUAGAAAAGGUCAUCAAUUUCAAAGUAGCUCUAGCUGUACCUGGAAAGGCUCACCAAGGCUGCCUAUCAUUUUUCAUGAUAUGUCUGAUUUCAGUGGCUUAUAACUUUGUCAAGCUUUUAAUGGAUUGAGCUAAAAUUUUCAAGGCUACCUCUGGCUGAUUAAAAAAAUGUAAAAAUCAGCCAAAAUUAUUCAGUCAUUUCCAAGAAGAGGAAAAAUAUAUUGUUCUGUGUACAAUAAAAUACUGGGUAAUUGGAGCUUCUCUUCCUGGUGAGCUGCUGAGGAAAAUACUUUGCUCAAACUGGUUUGUGUUUAUCUUUUGUUACUAAUAAAUUAUGCUUUAUUGGAUUCUGAUAUGAAAA